rnacentral:rRNA from 1 species
CCUACGGGUGGCAGCAGUGAGGAAUAUUGGUCAAUGGACGAGAGUCUGAACCAGCCAAGUAGCGUGAAGGAUGACUGCCCUAUGGGUUGUAAACUUCUUUUAUAAAGGAAUAAAACGAGGCACGUGUGCCUUUUUGCAUGUACUUUAUGAAUAAGGAUCGGCUAACUCCGUGCCAGCAGCCGCGGUAAUACGGAGGAUCCGAGCGUUAUCCGGAUUUAUUGGGGUUAAAGGGAGCGUAGAUGGGUUGUUAAGUCAGUUGUUAAAGUUGGCGGGUCAACCUUAAAAUUGCAAUUGAUACUGGCAGUCUUGAGAACAGGUGAGGUAGGCGGAAUUCGUGGUGUAGCGGUGAAAUGCUUAGAUAUCACGAAGAACCCCGAUUGCGAAGGCAGCUUACUAAACUGUGACUGACAUUGAUGCUCGAAAGUGUGGGUAGCAAACAGGAUUAGAUACCCUAGUAGUC